GAGUCUGAUCCUCUAAUCCUAUACAAUUGUACCAACAAAACAUGCAUCAUUCACAGACAGUAUGAGAUAGUUCUUCCAUUAUAGUGUUGAGUUGUCGGAGGAGGGAGGUGACUGCAUAACAUACUAUCCUAUUUGAUCACCGCAUUAUUCCAUAUGUUCAGGAGGCAGGUUUUCUUGGGGUUGCAUAGAUUAGUUUCAUCCAGCUUGAUUGGCACCUGAUUACUACUCUAGUUGAGCGUUGGAGACCAGAGACCCACACAUUUCACCUGUGGGGAAUGUACGAUUACGCUACACGAUGUUGUCGUACGAUUUGGGUUACGAGUGGAUGGGCAACCACUGACAGGCUCACUACAAAAUGACUGGAAGAACAUUUGUAAAGAGCUCUUAGGCGUUUUACCAGAGGAUCUGAAGGGAUCAAGAUUGAGUAUCCCUUGGUUGGCAUCCCAGAUUCCGAAUUACCUCACGAUACCGACGACAUGAGCGUACGUAAGUACGCACGAGCAUACAUCCUGUAGCUUAUUGGAGGAUUUUUAUUUGCUGACAAGUCAAAUACUCUGGUGCAUCUCAUGUUCCUCCCAUUAUUGUCUGAUUUCGAGCACACUGGUACGUACUCGUGGGGUGGUGCAUGUCUUGCAUGGUUGUACAGAGAACUUUGUCGGGCUUCUAAUGCACAAGCGUUGGAAAUAGCGAGGCCACUGAUAAUAUUACAAGUAUGGGCUUAUAAUCGAUUUCCAAAUAUAGCACCACAAGUCCAACUACAGGCCUCAGAUUAUCAUCCACUUAGUGCCAUGUAUUAUUUUAUUUAUAUAUCUAUUUCGUUACCAUUUUAUGUAAGAAUAUAAAUCAAUUGUAUUUUUUUAUAAUUUGAGAUGGAGUAGUGUAUUAGUUGCCUCUGAACAAUCAGCUCGUGUACAGAAAUAUAUUCGCAUGCUGAUGCCCAAUCAGGUUAUUUGGAUGCUGUGCACACAGAUUUGGUCAUCCUUACCUGAUUAUUGUCAUGAUGGUGAAGACAUCUGAUUGACUGUUAGACCUUUUAUAUGCUUCCAUAUAGUAGAAUGACAUCAUCCAGAUCGUGUGCUGGACAAACGAUACCUUCGUUGUCCUAUACACUCCCAACACUACACCAGAUCAAUUUAAGAGGUAAGCAUGACCAAGACUGGCGUCGAAUCCAUGCGGAAUAUUUAUUCUACUGGCAUGGACGAUGUGAUCGUUGUGCACAGGGAGAAUUAACAAAUGGGCCAGCUGUAUCAGACGAUUACUUUUCCUGGUACAAUUCGAUCAUGAGGCGAUUUAUCUCACAUGACGGCACUUACUAUUACUGCAUGUGCAGAACAACUUACCAGAAUUGGGUUCAAUGUGUCAACAAACAUAGGUCAACGUAGACAGUAUUAUUCAACAAACAAAACGACUCAAUGUUGCUGACACCGAUCGAAGACAUAUUCGUCAUAGACGACAGCGACAAUGGGGUGAACCUAAUUUAGAG